rnacentral:rRNA from 1 species
UACGAGGGGGGCAAGCGUUGUUCGGAAUUAUUGGGCGUAAAGGGCGCGUAGGCGGUUUGACAAGUCUGAUGUGAAAUCUAUGGGCUCAACCCAUAGCCUGCAUUAGAAACUGUCGGGCUUGAGUAUGGGAGAGGUGAGUGGAAUUUCCGGUGUAGCGGUGAAAUGCGUAGAUAUCGGAAGGAACACCUGUGGCGAAAGCGGCUCACUGGACCAUAACUGACGCUGAGGCGCGAAAGCUAGGGGGAGCAAACAGG